GGCCAGACCGGGGGCCAGAAAUGAACUUUUAUUGCAAAAUGGGGACCUUCAAGUCACAAGGACGUCAGAGCUGGCCUCUGGCCCAACACAAGGAGCUGGAAUCUGGCCCCUCCUUGGUCAUCUAGCCACUUCCACCAGCAAUCCUGUGAGGUGGGUACCAUUAUGCGUCCCAAUCGCCCAGAUGAGGAAACUGAGGCCCAGAGAGCUGAAGUCAGAGCAGACUCCAUUCCCUGGAGGCCACCAGACCCGAAGCCCCAUCUUCCAGGCGCCGGCUCAGGCUGUCCGUUUUCCUGAAUGUUCUUCCUCUGGAGCCCUCACUUCCGGCCCCAGGGCUGGCUGGCGCAGAAGCCUCCUACCUUGGACCCGAGGGUACUUCAGUAGAAGCAAGAGGGUAUAGC